UAGCGUAAAACAUGUGAGAAACAUGUUCCCCGUAAACCUAAGGUUUCCGACGGAAGGUUAAUCCGCGUCGGGUUAGUCGGGCCUUAGCCGAGGCCGAAAGGCGUAGGUGAUGGACAACUGGUUAAUAUUCCAGUACCGCUUAUGUGGAGCGAUGAGGGGACGCAGUAUGGUAGGUCAGCCCGUCUAAAUGGACAUGUCGGGUCUAAACAUGUAGGGUGUUGAUGCAAGUAGGAAAAUCCGCUUGCUGAACCUGAAGUGUGAAUGCGAUGCCCAAUAGGGUAGAAGUGAUUGAGCCAAACUGCCAAGAAAAGCCUCUAAGCGUUGAGAUGUAAGCGCCCGUACCGCAAACCGACACUGGUAGGUGGGUAGAAGAUACCAAGGGGAUCGGGAGAACCCUCGUUAAGGAAUUAGGCAAAAUACAUCCGUAACUUCGGGAGAAGGAUGGCCCUUGACGGUUAGCAAUUAUGCAAAGCUGUUGGGGGCCGCAGAGAAAUGGCUCUUCCAACUGUUUAACAAAAACACAGGUCUCUGCUAAGUCGAAAGACGAAGUAUAGGGGCUGACGCCUGCCCAGUGCUGGAAGGUUAAGGGGAGAGGUUAGACGCAAGUCGAAGCUUUGAACCGAAGCCCCAGUGAACGGCGGCCGUAACGAUAACGGUCCUAAGGUAGCGAAAUUCCUUGUCGGGUAAGUUCCGACCCGCACGAAUGGCGUAAUGAGAGGAGCACUGUCUCAACGAGGGACCCGGCGAAAUUGAAGUACGUGUAAAGAUGCGCGUUACCCGCAGCGGGACAAAAAGACCCCGUGGAGCUUUACUACAACUUGGCAUUGGAUUAGGGCUUAACUUGUGUAGGAUAGGUGGGAGGCUAUGAAGCUGGGACGCCAGUCUCGGUGGAGCCAACGUUGAAAUACCACCCUGGUUAAGUUUUGAUUCUAACCUGCGUCCGUAAUCCGGCGUGGGAACAGUGCCUGGUGGGUAGUUUGACUGGGGCGGUCGCCUCCGAAAGAGUAACAGAGGCGCCCAAAGGUUCCCUCAGGCUGAAUGGAAACCAGCCAUAGAGUGUAAAGGCACAAGGGAGCUUGACUGCAAGACCUACAAGUCGCGCAGGGACGAAAGUCGGGCUUAGUGAUCCCACGGUACCGAGUGGAAGGGCCGUGGCUUACCGGAUAAAAGCUACCCCGGGGAUAACAGGGUAGUCUGGUCCAAGAGUUCAUAUCGACGACCAGGUUCGCCACCUCGAUGUCGGCUCAUCACAUCCUGGGGCUGGAUAAGGUCCCAAGGGUUGGGCUGUUCGCCCAUUAAAGUGGUACGUGAGCUGGGUUCAGACCGUCGUGAGACAGGUCGGUCUCUAUCCGCUGUGGGCGUAAGGGAUUUGCGAGGAGCUGCCCCUAGUACGAGAGGACCGGGGUGGACAGACCUCUGGUGUUCCAGUUGUUCCGCCAGGAGCAUUGCUGGGUAGCUAAGUCUGGCAGAGAUAACCGCC
rnacentral:rRNA from 1 species